rnacentral:misc_RNA from 1 species
AUCAAGUAAGAAUGAGAUUCAGGUAAGUGGCGGUGCCAAGUCACCAAUUCCUGGAGAAAUAUCUAUGGGUUCUGUUGAGAAUCAUUCCAAAUUGGUGGACGGCAUCACAAGUUCUGUAGCACCUCGUGAGAAGGAUCUGAGAGGACAGAAGGACCAAAAUGCUUCUGAUCUGACAAAAACCAUUGGUGUAGUUCCAGAAUCUGAAGUUGGAGAAAGAUCCUCCCAGGACGAGUGUGAAAAGGCUAAGGAUUUAAGACAAAGCAGCAUCAAGGAAGGUUCCCAUGUCGAGGUUUUCAAGGAUGGGAAUGGAUUAAAAGCAUCUUGGUUCACAGCCAGUGUGCUGAGUUUGAAGGAAGGGAAAGCUUACGUGUCCUACACUGAACUUCAACCUGAAGAAGGGUCAGGCCAACUAAAGGAGUGGGUUGCUCUUGAUGGUCAAGGGGGCAUGGCACCAAGAAUUCGAAUUUCUCGUCCUAUGACUAACUUGCGGACUGAAGGAACAAGGAAGCGACGCCGAGCAGCUGCAGGGGACUACAUCUGGUCAGUCGGAGACAAAGUUGAUGCAUGGAUGCAGAAUAGCUGGCAUGAAGGAGUGGUUGUUGAGAAGAACGCAAAAGAUGAAACAACAUAUAUUGUCCGCUUUCCAGCUCAAGGCGAAACGUCCACUAUCAAAGCUUGGAAUCUCCGGCCUUCUCUCAUAUGGAAAGAUGGGGAAUGGUUUGAGUUGUCCAGCUCGUAUAUAAAUGAUUUUUCUCAUGAGAUUGUUGUGCCUCAGGAAAAG